rnacentral:rRNA from 1 species
GACGAACGCUGGCGGCGUGCUUAACACAUGCAAGUCGAACGGUGAAGGGACCAGCUUGCUGGUUCUGGAUGAGUGGCGAACGGGUGAGUAACACGUGAGUAACCUGCCCCCUUCUUCUGGAUAACCGCAUGAAAGUGUGGCUAAUACGGGAUAUUCUGGGUCUGUCGCAUGGCGGGCCCGGGAAAGAUAUUGCUUCGGUGGGGGACGGGCUCGCGGCCUAUCAGCUUGUUGGUGGGGUGAUGGCCUACCAAGGCGGUGACGGGUAGCCGGCCUGAGAGGGUGGACGGUCACACUGGGACUGAGACACGGCCCAGACUCCUACGGGAGGCAGCAGUGGGGAAUAUUGCACAAUGGGCGCAAGCCUGAUGCAGCGACGCCGCGUGAGGGAUGGAGGCCUUCGGGUUGUAAACCUCUUUCGCCAGUGAAGCAGGCCUGCUCCUUGUGGGUGGGUUGACGGUAGCUGGAUAAGAAGCGCCGGCUAACUACGUG